CAAGCCCACCCGACGACAUGCGCAUUGAGUACAUCAUUUUGGCUCCGACGAGCAGCAGUAUCAACUGCGGAUAGACAGCUCCAGAUGUCCGACAGAGCCAAAAUGUCUUCCACUACGAACACUGUAUAAGAGGUUUUUAGGUGGCCACAGAUCAGUUUCCACGGAGGACGCGCUAGCUGUUCCAAGUCAGGACCCGGGAUGGACCACUCUUCCUUACAUCAAUUGGGAACGUCUCUGCGCUACGGACUUGUCUACAUACAAGAAGAUCCUCUGCUGGAACUGGGCUCUCACAAUAUUAACCGUAUCCACUCGGGAUCCAAUGCACCAGGGUAUUUGAACUCCUCCACUUGGGGCAAGAUCUCCUCCCCAACCCGGAGAUGGCACUCCACCCUUUUCCGUAAGAGAACCAUGGACUCGUACAUGGAGGUGCUGAUUCUCAUUCCAUUCUCUUCACGCUCGGCUGCGAACCGAUCCAGUGAGAGCUGAAGAUCGUGGCCGGAUGAAGAUGUAAUCUUGCAGCCACCAAACCGGAUCCCCUCAACACCCUGACUGCGCAUAGAAAUUCUCUCCAUAAAAGUUAUGAACAGAAUUGGUGAGAAAGUGCAGCCCUGGUGGAGUCCAACCCUCACUCGAAGAAGGUCCGACUUAGUGCCGGCAGUGCGGACUAAGCUCUGACACUGAUCAUACAGGGAGCGGACCGCCACAAUCAGACUGUCUGAUACCCCAUAGUCUCUGAGCACUCUCAACAGGACUUCCCGAGGGACACAGUCAAAUGCCUUCUUGCUUGAUGUACAGCUUAAGUUGUUCCACAGUUCAGGUUAUCUGUUGUCGUAUUUUAUGCUUCAUAAUGCGUCACACAUUUUCAGUCGGAGACAGGUCUGGACUACAGGCAGGCCAGUAGAGUACCCGCACUCUUUUACUAUGAAGCCCCGCUGUUGUAACACAUGUAGAAUUUGGCUAGGCAUGGUCUUGCUGAAAUAAGCAGGGGCGUCCAUGAAAAAGAUGUUGGUUGGAUGGCAACAUAUGUUGCUCCAAAACCUGUAUGUACCUUUCAGCAUUAAUGGGGCCUUCACAGCUUUGUAAGUUACCCAUGCCUUGGGCACUAAUGCACCCCCAUACCCCAUACAGAUGCUGGCUUUUGAACUUUGCGCCUAUAACAGUCUGGAUGGUUCUUUUCCUCUUUGGUACGGAGGACACAACGUCCACAGUCAUCUUAGAUGAGCUCGGGCCCAGCUCGGGCCUUUGUGGGAUGUUCCAAAUAAGUGUUUAAUGAGCAUUCCUCAACUUUCAACUUUCUCAGUCUUUGUUGCCACUUGUGCCAGCUUUUUUGAAACAUGUUGCAGGCAUCAAAUUCCAAAUGAGCUAAUAUUUGCAAAAAAUAACAGAGUUUACCAGUUCCAACGUUAAAUAUCUUGUCUUUUCAGUCUAUUUAAUUGAAUAUAGGUUAAAAAGGAUUUGCAAAUCAUUGUAUUUUGUUUUUAUUUACGAUUUACACAUUUGCCAACUUCCCUGGUUUUGGGUUUUGUAAUUUGUAUACAAGCUUCUGCUGUUGAAAUUAAUAACUAACCUUUAUUUUAAUCACAUUUAAUAUUACUUUCAUAGUUAAGUUAAAGUUAAAGUACCAAUGAUUGUUUCUCUGUAUAAUAAAAAACAUUAUUACUUAUGGGGGAGAAAACAAUUGUAUCUGGAUAUAUAUGAUUCCCCAAAUCUUG